UAUUUUGGGAUGGACCACAAUGUUGAUCAAACUGGGAAAGCUGUCAUCAUCAACAAAACUAGUAACACAAGAAUCCCUGAACAGAGGUUCUCAGAACAUAUAAAGGAUGAGAAGAAUACAGAAUUUCAACAGAGGUUCAUUCUCAAGAGAGAUGAUGCCAGUAUGGACCGAGAUGAUAACCAGGGGGAACCGUGAAGGACUGAGCCGCACCUCAAGCAGCCGCCAGAGCAGCACAGACAGCGAACUCAAAUCCCUGGAGCCACGCCCUUGGAGCAGCACAGACUCUGAUGGCUCUGUCCGGAGCAUGCGACCCCCUGUCACCAAAGCUAGCAGCUUCAGUGGAAUCUCUAUCCUUACCCGAGGUGACAGCAUCGGCAGCAGUAAAGGCGGCAGUGCGGGAAGGAUCUCCAGGCCAGGUAUGGCACUAGGUGCCCCAGAAGUGUGCAACCAGGUCACCUCAUCCCAGUCUGUCCGGGGGCUUCUCCCUUGUACUGCCCAGCAGCAACAGCAGCAGCAGCAGCAGCAACUUCCUGCUCUCCCACCCACGCCUCAGCAACAGCCACCCUUGAAUAAUCACAUGAUCUCACAGGCAGAUGACCUCAGCAACCCCUUUGGACAAAUGAGCCUUAGUCGCCAAGGUUCUACUGAAGCAGCUGACCCAUCUGCAGCUCUAUUCCAGACCCCACUUAUCUCCCAGCACCCUCAGCAGACUAGCUUCAUCAUGGCUUCCACGGGUCAGCCCCUCCCCACUUCCAACUAUUCCACCUCUAGCCAUGCACCACCUACUCAGCAAGUUCUGCCACCCCAGGGGUACAUGCAGCCCCCUCAACAGAUCCAGGUUUCUUACUAUCCCCCUGGACAAUAUCCUAACUCCAACCAGCAAUAUCGACCUCUCUCUCACCCGGUGGCCUAUAGCCCCCAACGUGGUCAGCAGCUGCCUCAGCCAUCCCAGCAGCCUGGUUUACAGCCCAUGAUGCCUAACCAGCAGCAGGCGGCUUACCAAGGCAUGAUUGGGGUCCAGCAGCCACAGAACCAGGGCCUGCUCAGCAGCCAGAGGAGCAGCAUGGGGGGCCAGAUGCAAGGCCUGGUGGUUCAGUACACUCCACUGCCUUCUUACCAAGUUCCAGUGGGUAGUGACUCGCAAAAUGUGGUCCAGCCGCCUUUCCAGCAACCCAUGCUGGUCCCUGUGAGCCAGUCUGUGCAAGGAGGCCUCCCAGCAGCGGGGGUACCAGUGUACUAUAGCAUGAUCCCACCUGCUCAGCAGAACGGUACGAGCCCUUCUGUAGGGUUUCUGCAACCCCCUGGCUCUGAGCAGUACCAGAUGCCUCAGUCUCCCUCUCCCUGCAGUCCACCACAGAUGCCACAGCAGUACUCAGGAGUGUCACCUUCUGGACCAGGUGUAGUGGUCAUGCAGCUGAAUGUCCCUAAUGGACCCCAGCCCCCUCAGAACCCAUCCAUGGUCCAGUGGAGUCAUUGUAAAUACUACAGCAUGGACCAGCGGGGGCAGAAGCCUGGAGACCUGUACAGUCCUGACAGCAGCCCCCAGGCCAACACACAAAUGAGCAGCAGCCCUGUCACAUCUCCUACCCAGUCUCCAGCACCCUCUCCUGUCACCAGCCUCAGCAGUGUCUGCACAGGACUCAGUCCCCUGCCUGUCCUCACACAGUUCCCCCGGCCUGGGGGUCCAGCACAGGGUGAUGGGCGCUACUCCCUUUUGGGCCAGCCAUUACAGUACAAUCUGUCCAUCUGCCCUCCCUUGCUCCAUGGCCAGUCAACUUACACGGUGCACCAGGGACAGAGUGGACUGAAGCAUGGAAACCGGGGCAAGAGACAAGCACUCAAAUCUGCCUCCACUGACCUGGGGACAGCAGAUGUUGCCCUGUCAUUUCAGCCCUGACACCAAGGCAGGAGGCUAGGAGGUCUACAAAUAGCGACUGGGUAGCUGGUGUGAACACAGGGGGUACUGGGGGGGCUUAGCCCCCAAGGAAGAGGACCAGUUUUUCCCCAGCACCACCAUCAAGGCCUCGAGGCUCCCAGCUCCCUCUACAGCCUGUGGACUGACUUAGGGAAUCCCGAACGAUGACAGAAAAGGAGGUGCUGGAGUCCC
rnacentral:lncRNA from 1 species